UACGGGAGCAGCAGUGGGGAAUAUUGCACAAUGGGCGAAAGCCUGAUGCAGCUAUGCCGCGUGUAUGAAGAAGGCCUUAGGGUUGUAAAGUACUUUCAUCGGGGAGGAAAAACAAAACUAAUAAUUUUAUUUCUUGACGUUACCCGAAAAAGAAGCACCGGCUAACUCCGUGCCAGCAGCCGCGGUAAUACGGAGGGUGCUAGCGUUAAUCAGAAUUACUGGGCGUAAAGAGCACGUAGGUGGUUUUUUUAAGUCAGAUGUGAAAUCCCUGGGCUUAACCUAGGAACUGCAUUUUGAAACUGAAAUACUAGAGUAUCGUAGAGGGAGGUAGAAUUCUAGGUGUAGCGGUGAAAUGCGUAGAUAUCUGGAGGAAUACCUGUGGCGAAAGCGGCCUCCUAAACGAAUACUGACACUGAGGGUGCGAAAAGCGUGGGGAGCAAACAGGGAUUAGAUACC
rnacentral:rRNA from 1 species